ensembl:rRNA 5S_rRNA 5S ribosomal RNA
GCCUACGGCCAUCCCACCCUGGUAACGCCCGAUCUCGUCUGAUCUCGGAAACUAAGCAGGGUCGGGCCUGGUUAGUACUUGGAUGGGAGACCUCCUGGGAAUACCGGGUGCUGUAGGCU